rnacentral:sRNA from 1 species
GCCUGUGGUCGUGGCGACUUGGAGGCUGAGGCAGGAGGAUGGCUUGAGCCUGGGAGCUCUGGGCAGCAGUGCACUGUGCCCAUCAGGUGUCCGUGCUAAAUUCAGCAUCAAGAGGGUGACCUCCCUGUAGCGGGGAACCGCGAGGUUGCCUAAGGAGGGGUGAACCGGCCCAGGUCGGAAACGGAGCAGGUCAAAACUCUUCUGCUGAUCCUUUGCACCACCUACAAAGGAAUAAUUUCUGGACCAACAAUAAAUACCAGAUACAU